GACGUAGGGGGCAAGCGUUGUCCGGAAUUAUUGGGCGUAAAGCGCUCGUAGGCGGAUCGGUAAGUCUGUGAAGAAAGACCCGGGCUCAACUCGGGGAACGGCAUAGAUACUGCUGAUCUUGAGACAGUCAGAGGAUGAUGGAAUUCCAGGUGUAGCGGUGAAAUGACGUAGAUAUCUGGAGGAACACCAGUGGCGAAGGCGAUCAUCGUGGGGCUGUUCUGACGCUGAGGAGCGAAAGCUAGGGGAGCAAACGGG
rnacentral:rRNA from 1 species